rnacentral:lncRNA from 1 species
GAAGAAGAAAAAAAUAUAGAGUGUGAGAAUAGAGAGAGAGAGCAUGUGGGAGGAGAAGAGCAAGGAAAGAAGGGAAGUCUCAUACUCAAGUUUAGGAAGAUCACUACAAAUUCAAGUAAGGGGUUUAACCUUUCAUCUCAGUUUCCGAAUUUUUGUGAUAUGAGUUGGUCGUUUAUUUUCCUUUUUCUUUUAAUGAAUCUUUUGAAUUAAAUUCUUAUUAGACAAUUUUGUGUUUAUAUGCCGAUACAUUCAUAGUUGUGUCUCCAGCUAUGUAUUCGUGAAUGAUUAUUGGUAUUGUUGAAUAUAAAUACAAUACUUUUGAA